CCAGAGGCAAUUUGGAAAUGUGUUCUUUAUCUCAGUGGAGGACAUUAUGCUGAUUACUUUAGCCAGGAAUAUGACUGGAAUUUAUGACCUGGAAUAGGAAGAUACAAGUCUACUCUGGGGUCAUGACAGCUGUACUUGAGAUUCAUGUGCUCAGGUGAACAGACUAGGAGUAGUACAAGCCCUCAAGUGUUAAAGGCAUGAGCCGGAUUUAAGAGAACAAAUGGAAUUUAUAUCCUCUGAGGGAACCAGAAC